ACAACUAGAUUUUCCACUUUAGUCCUCUACAAUAAAAAAAAUCUUGAGUUUCAAAGUCCGUUUUUACGUCUAUUUUGCGCAAAACAUCUCCAACUCAAAGCCAAGGGUACUACAAUAGCUGUACCUGAAAAUAAAAUUCAAGCCACAACUAGUAGUAUAGAGUUGCUAAACUGAACUGAAAAUAAAUAAACAUCAUGUUCACUAUACAUACAAAGUCUCUUAGAUA
rnacentral:lncRNA from 1 species